rnacentral:rRNA from 1 species
AGUCUGAACCAGCCAAGUCGCGUGAGGGAAGACUGCCCUAUGGGUUGUAAACCUCUUUUAUAAGGGAAGAAUAAGUUCUACGUGUAGAAUGAUGCCUGUACCUUAUGAAUAAGCAUCGGCUAACUCCGUGCCAGCAGCCGCGGUAAUACGGAGGAUGCGAGCGUUAUCCGGAUUUAUUGGGUUUAAAGGGUGCGUAGGCGGUUUAUUAAGUUAGUGGUUAAAUAUUUGAGCUAAACUCAAUUGUGCCAUUAAUACUGGUAAACUGGAGUACAGACGAGGUAGGCGGAAUAAGUUAAGUAGCGGUGAAAUGCAUAGAUAUAACUUAGAACUCCGAUAGCGAAGGCAGCUUACCAGACUGUAACUGACGCUGAUGCACGAGAGCGUGGGUAGCGAACAGGAUUAGAUACCCUGGUAGUCCACGCCGUAAACGAUGCUCACUGGUUCUGUGCGAUAUAUUGUACGGGAUUAAGCGAAAGUAUUAAGUGAGCCACCUGGGGAGUACGUCGGCAACGAUGAAACUCAAAGGAAUUGACGGGGGCCCGCACAAGCGGAGGAACAUGUGGUUUAAUUCGAUGAUACGCGAGGAACCUUACCUGGGUUUAAAUGGGAAAUGCCGUAUUUGGAAACAGAUAUUCUCUUCGGAGCGUUUUUCAAGGUGCUGCAUGGUUGUCGUCAGCUCGUGCCGUGAGGUGUCGGGUUAAGUCCCAUAACGAGCGCAACCCUUACCGUUAGUUGCUAGCAUGUAAUGAUGAGCACUCUAACGGGACUGCCACCGUAAGGUGAGAGGAAGGCGGGGAUGACGUCAAAUCAGCACGGCCCUUACACCCAGGGCUACACACGUGUUACAAUGGCCGGUACAGAGGGCCGCUACCAGGUGACUGGAUGCCAAUCUCAAAAGCCGGUCGUAGUUCGGAUUGGAGUCUGUAACCCGACUCCAUGAAGUUGGAUUCGCUAGUAAUCGCGCAUCAGCCAUGGCGCGGUGAAUACGUUCCCGGGCCUUGUACACACCGCCCGUCAAGCCA